AAUAUUUCACAAUGGAGGAAACCCUGAUGCAGCGACGCCGCGUGAACGAUGAAGGCAUUCGCGUCGUAAAGUUAUGUCCUCGGUGACGAUAAUGACGGUACCUUAGGAUGAAGCCCCGGCUAACUACGUACCAGCAACCGCGGUAAUACGUAGGGGGCAAGCGUUGUCCGGAAUUAUUGGGCGUAAAGGGUCCGCAGGCGGCCUUUUAAGUCAGAUGUGAAAGACUACAGCUCAACUGUAGUAAGGAUUUGGAACUGAAAGGCUUGAGUUAAGGAGGGGAGAGUGGAAUGCCUAGUGUAGCGGUGAAAUGCGUAGAUAAUAGGAAGGAUACCAAUGGCGAAGGCGACUUGCUGGACUUAUACUGACGCUGAGGAACGAAAGCGUGGGGAGCAAACAGG
rnacentral:rRNA from 1 species